rnacentral:tRNA from 1 species
GGCGGCGUAGCUCAGUGGCAGAGCAAUCGGCUCAUAAUCGAUCGGUCCUUGGUUCGAAUCCAAGCGCCGCUACCA